rnacentral:rRNA from 1 species
AUGUAUGCACUGCAGAAAUCCAAGCAGUGGAUGACGCUUAGGGCAAAAAAACUGAAGGAAGACAUAUGUAUGUUGUUUAAAACCAACAAUGACACAGUGGUAAAAAUGUCCUUAGUGGAUACACUACAACAUCUCGGAAUCGAUCACCACUUUGAAGACCAGAUUGACACCGCUAUGAGGCAAAUCCUGAAGAGUGAAUUUAGUAAGUACAACCUCUAUGAAGUGGCCCUUCGGUUUCGCCUGCUGAGGGAACAUGGACACUGGGUAUCUCCAGAUGUUUUCAAUCGAUUCAAAAGUGAAGAUGGAAGCUUCAUCUAUGAUAUAACAAAUGAGCCCAGGACACUAUUGUGUCUAUACAAUGCAUCUCAUCUUCUAGUUCAUGGUGAGCUGGCACUCGAAGAAACCAUAGCUUUUGCAAGGCAUCAUCUUGAAUCAUGUAGUGGUAGUUUCAAGACCCCCCUAGCUCAACAAGUCCAACGUGCCCUUCACAUACCAAUGCCAAGGACAAAUAAGAGGGUAGAAAUGCUACAUUAUAUCCUAGAGUACGAACAAGAGGAGCAUAACCCAAUCCUACUGGAGCUUGCCAAAUUGGAUUUCAACAUUCAGCAAAAUGUCCACUCGAAGGAGCUGAAAGCUAUUACCAGGUGGUGGGAACAUUUUUCUGGAUAUAUCGAGCUAAGCUUUAUCCGCGAUCGUGUGGUGGAGGGUUAUACAUGGGCCUCUGUGUUGUACUAUGACACAAAAUUUGAGCUCACUCGAAGUAUGAUCACAAAGAUGAUUGUACUGAUUACCACAUUAGAUGACAUAUAUGAUAACCAUGCCACCCUAGAGGACAGUUGGAAGCUACAUGAAGCAAUACAA